rnacentral:lncRNA from 1 species
UCAGCCACACCAUAAAAGUUUUGCCUUUGAAACAAACGUGCACGAUCUUCAACACGAUCCAAACUACCACCCACAAACAAACAAACAAAAAACUAAGAAGAUCAGAUAGAGAAAAACUAAGAAGGCAAAUCAUGUUUUAAGAGAGAGAGAAGGUUUAUGGAAAGAUUUUGAAGAAACUACUUACACUACAAGAAAACUCAAGCUUAACAGGGAAAAUUUACGAAGAAAAACAAACCUCGUAAAUUUACGUUGAUUUUACGAGGAACGUA